rfam:Moniliophthora roreri MCA 2997 sctg_0095_0008, whole genome shotgun sequence.
GUGCCCGUAACUCAGUGGUAGAGUGUGAGAUUGCAAUGAAACUAUAGCUGUAUCGAAAUCAAUCUCGAAGCCGCGUGUUCGAACCACGCCGGGCACU